rnacentral:rRNA from 1 species
UUCUAGUGCGACGGGUGAGUAACACGUUGGAACCUGCCCCAAAGUGAGGAAUAAGCCACCGAAAGGUGGUCUAAUACUUCAUAAUAUCCAUCUCGUAUGGAUUAAAGCUUUAUGCGCUUUGGGAGGGGCCUGCGUAACAUUAGCUAGUUGGUGAGGUAAAAGCUCACCAAGGCUUCGAUGUUUAACUGGUUUGAGAGGAUGACCAGUCACACUGGGACUGAGAUACGGCCCAGACUCCUACGGGAGGCAGCAGUAAGGAAUCUUCCACAAUGGGGCAACCCUGAUGGAGCAAUACCGCGUGCAGGAUGAAGCGUUUCGGCGUGUAAACUGCUUUUAUCACCGAAGAUUAUGACUGUAGGUGAAGAAUAAGGACCGGCUAACUACGUG